rnacentral:rRNA from 1 species
GAUGAACGCUAGCUACAGGCUUAACACAUGCAAGUCGAGGGGAAACGAUAUUGGAAGCUUGCUUCCGAUAGGCGUCGACCGGCGCACGGGUGAGUAACGCGUAUCCAACCUGCCCACCACUUGGGGAUAACCUUGCGAAAGUAAGACUAAUACCCAAUGAUAUCUCUAGAAGACAUCUGAAAGAGAUUAAAGAUUUAUCGGUGAUGGAUGGGGAUGCGUCUGAUUAGCUUGUUGGCGGGGUAACGGCCCACCAAGGCGACGAUCAGUAGGGGUUCUGAGAGGAAGGUCCCCCACAUUGGAACUGAGACACGGUCCAAACUCCUACGGGAGGCAGCAGUGAGGAAUAUUGGUCAAUGGGGCGAAGAGCCUGAACCAGCCAAGUAGCGUGCAGGAAGACGGCCCUAUGGGUUGUAAACUGCUUUCAGUCGGGAAUAACUCGUCGGUCGUGACCGACGUUGCAGGUACCGUCAUAAGAAGGACCGGCUAAAUUCCGUG